rnacentral:lncRNA from 1 species
UAUGAUAUUGAGGCCCGGAGGAUCAGAGGCAAGAAAGCUAAGGUGAACUUUCCCGAUGAAGCUCCAGUGUCUUCUUCAAGACGUGUUGUGAAGCUAAAUCCCCAGGAGGCACUUCACAAAGAGAGCUCGAACAUAGUUCAGGCCAACACCACUUUUACUAACAACUUGGGCUGUGGUUCUGAUGAUUCAUUGAGCUUUGUCGAAGAGAAACCAACAGCAAUGCAGUAUGGUUAUGAGGACGUGUCUUUUACUGCUGGAGAUAUGGGACUUAGCUCAUUUUCGCCUUCAGCUGGUACAAAUGUUUACUUCAAUUCUGAUGAAGGAAGUAACACUUUUGACUGCUCUGAUUUUGGUUGGGGCGAACCUUGUUCAAGGUCUCCAGAAAUAUCAUCUGUUCUGUCGGCUGUUUUAGAAUGUAAUGAGACUCAAUUCGAUGAAGAUGCCCGUCCUGAGAAAAAACUCAAGUCCUGCUCAGACAAUUCACUGCCAGAUGAUGGCAACACUGUGAACAAGCUAUCUGAAGAGCUAUCGGCUUUUGAAUCCCAGAUGAAGUUCUUGCAGAUCCCAUAUCUUGAGGGAAAUUGGGAUGCAUCAGUUGAUGCCUUGCUCAAUGCAGAUGCAACACAGGAUGGUGGAAAUGCUAUGGACCUUUGGUUCUUUGAUGAUGUUCCCUCUUUAAUGGGAGGUGUCUACUAAGCCAGCCUGCCCUCCCUUUGCUAAGUUUUGUAAAUAAAGCUUCAUUUGAGUGAAGUUUACAGUUAUGUUGUCUCCAAGCAAGACUAAGUAUGUGUUGUAUGCAUUAUUUUGAAAGUUUACUCAGUUUGAUAUCUCUGUCCUUGUUCUCUGGCAUAGUUAAGCAUAUGCUUUAACCCUCUGAUGCUGUUCUCAAUGUGUUGGCAAUUGAGCAAGCAGUCUUAUGUAAUUAGGUAAACUAACCUCUCAAAAUUUCAAAUAAAAGAUAUUAAAUUUAGUAUUU